rnacentral:rRNA from 1 species
AUUGAACGCUGGCGGCAGGCUUAACACAUGCAAGUCGAGCGGAGUGAUGGUGCUUGCACUAUCACUUAGCGGCGGACGGGUGAGUAAUGCUUAGGAAUCUGCCUAUUAGUGGGGGACAACAUCUCGAACGGGAUGCUAAUACCGCAUACGUCCUACGGGAGAAAGCAGGGGAUCACUUGUGACCUUGCGCUAAUAGAUGAGCCUAAGUCGGAUGAGCUAGUUGGUGGGGUAAAGGCCUACCAAGGCGACGAUCUGUAGCGGGUCUGGGAGGAUGAUCCGCCACACUGGGACGGAGCCACGGCCCAGACUCCUACGGGAGGCAGCAGUGGGGAAUAUUGGACAAUGGGGGGAACCCUGAUCCAGCCAUGCCGCGUGUGUGAAGAAGGCCUUAUGGUUGUAAAGCACUUUAAGCGAGGAGGAGGCUCUUUUGGUUAAUACCCAAGAUGAGUGGACGUUACUCGCAGAAUAAGCACCGGCUAACUCUGUGCCAGCCGCCGCGGUAA